rnacentral:misc_RNA from 1 species
CGCAGUUGAAGAAAAUACAUGGACACCCGUGUUUCCGUGUAGGGGCAGUUAAAAAACGGUCAUAUUUCCCCGUGUAGUCAUUUCCGUGUUCCCGUGUUUUCCGUGUAUGGUCACUCUAGACACUGCGCAGAGUAUGCCAAAAGUGGCAGAGCCUCAUGUCGUUUUUGUAAUGGAACUAUUGAAAAAGAUUCUUUGCGAAUUAGCAAACGAGUACGAAGUUCUUAUUUCGAUAAUAUGAGUGAACAUUGGUAUCAUGUCGAUGGUAUUUUUUCGAUUCCUCUGAAGCCUGCAUCUGUUGCAUUAAUUGGUAAUUUUGAUAACAUUCAAUGGAACGACCAGGAACUUCUGAAACAAAAAGUAGGAAGAAGGCGCUCUGAACCAACGAAAGGCACCUCAAAGGUGAUGGUUGUUUCCCCAAUAACUCUCAAACGACCAACAUUAGACGAUUUUGACAACUAUAGAAUCGAAUACGCUCGAUCUAGUGAUACAGAAUGUUACUGUAAAGAUUUAAUCGAAGAAGGUGAGAUUCAAGUCUGCAAAAAAGAAGAAGAUACAGGACUUUUUGUAGAUUGGCAUCAUCUUCGAUGUUGGGCUGAUCUUCGAGAUGAUUUCAAAUUUUUUUCAUCAGGAAGUUGUCUUCCUGGAUUUCAUAAUCUGGAUAAAAGAAACCAAGCUAUUGUUUUAGAAAAACUUCCACCAGUCAAUAAUGAAAAUCUACCUCCUGCAGCCAAACGCGCACAUCUGAAUACCGUAAAAACAGCAGGAAUGAAUGAUAUGGAUAUUAAAAUGAUGAUUCAGAAUGAAAAAUUCUUCAAUAUGAGAAAUAAGUUGGAAAAUCAGAAAGUUACUUAGGAGGAUAUGCUUGCUAAGGAGGAUAAUACAAUAAUCAAAGGUGGGCUAGAUCUCUUGAUGAUUUAAGAGAUGUAGUUGCCGACCGACUAGCUUUUGGAUCAGUAAGUGAAUGUCAACAAUGUUCUGGAAGAAGAAAAUUCAUUUCUGGUUUCGGAUAUGUAUGUACCCAAUGUGAUGACAUUAGUAAAAGCCCUCCAAAAAGUAAAUUUAAAAUUCCUCUUAAUUUAAAAGAAAAAUAUGAAUUUCUUAAAUUUUUGACAUGAUGGAGUUUAAGCAAUCUGAUUGUCAUGAAAUUAUUGAUCGUGAUAAGCUGACAGACUCAGUAUACUAUAAGAAUUCUAUAAUAGAUCCAAAAACGGAUUUUCAAGGAGUUGCCAAUGUUUAUCAGUGUAACGGCACAAAAUAUGUUGCUACUCUUGGAUUCACAGAUAUUAAAGCCGGUUAUAAUUCCUUUUACAAGCUACUAAUUUUGCAAUAUUGUAACCAAGAAAAAUACUCUUUUUUUCGUAGUUGGGGCAGAACCGGUACCCAAAUAGGAAGUUCAAAAGUGGAUAUAAUGCCGCUUGAUAUGUGCAUAACGAUGUUUGAAACUGUAUUUUUUGAAAAAACUGGAAAAUAUGGAGUAAACGAUUUCAAUUUAGCAAACAUCCGUAUAAAAUGCACCUAAUAAAUCCAAGAUGGUGUAGAUUUCACUCAAUUAACGAAUCUCAAUUCACAAAUAAAAAGUAAAUUAUAGACAGAAUGCCUUUGGGAAAAUUAUCCCAAAAUCAAAUAGAGAAAGCUUACAAAGUAUUGCAAGAACUUCAGGAUUUAGUUUUGUGUAGUACUUCUACUAAAACAGCAUUUGUUGAUGCAUCCAAUAGAUUUUACACAUUAAUUUGGUAUUACUGUGCCACCAAUUAUCGAUAAUACGACUAUGAUUAAACAAAAAUGUGACAUGCUAAAUGCAUUAAUCGACAUAGAAAUUUCCUAUAAUCUUAUUAAUCAUCAAUCUAAUAAGGAUCAACAUCCUCUAGAUGCUCACUACGAAAAACUUAAUACUGAAAUUGAUAUUCUUGACAGCGAUAGUGAAGAAUACAAAAUGAUUGAAAAAUAUGCAAAAAAUACACACGCUCAUACUCAUUCGGAUUAUACAUUGCAGAUUGAAAAUUUUUUUAAAAUCGAACGCCAUGGCGAAGCUAAUAGGUAUCAACUUUUCGAAAGGCUCCAUAACAAAAAGCUUUAUGGCAUGGAUCACGUACAACGAAUUUUGCUGGAAUCUUAUCUCAAGGCUUAAGGAUUGCGCCUCCAGAAGCUCCAACUAGUGGUUACAUGUCUGGAAAGGGGAUUUAUUUCGCAGAUAUGAUAUCUUAAUCAGCUAAUUAUUGUUUUGCUGACAAUAAAAACCCUACUGGUCUCCUAUUACUUUGCGAAGUUGCUUUAGGUAAUAUGUAUGAAAAGCAUAGAGCAUCCCCGAACUUUAGAUUACCUCAAAAUAAAGAUUCUACCUUCGGUAGGGGAAAAACUUUUUCACAUCCAAAUGAAUUGUAUAGGUUCGUUAAUGGAACUGAAGUUCCUUAUGGAACUCCAGUUUACGACUUGGAUGCAACUGAUUUACAAUUAUUGUAUAAUGAGUAUAUUGUAUACAAUCCUGCUCAAGUUAGAACUCGAUAUUUAGUUCAAGUAAAAUUUAAUUUUAGAUCUUAAUUAUAAACUUAUUCAUACUUUUGGAAUUAACCUUCUAAAUGGCCAAAUAAGGGAAAACUUUUCGCAGAAAUAGAGUAAAGUAAAUAUUGUCUAAUUUUCAAAAGCUAUGGCUUAAAUUGUAAGAAUACAAGUAUUUCAAUAACGAAAAAUAUAACAGUUUUAUAAUUAUUAUAAACAAUAAAUACUUAGUUAAAUUUGCCAAAGUUUCAAUAAUUAAAAACAUUUAUUUACUGUACAAAUAUUUACUCUACUUAAUUUAUCUGCUUAGAAAUCUUUAAUUUUGAUAUAGCUGAUAAGUUUUUUUUUUCAUUGGUUACAAUUUGAUCAAUAAUUACCUAAACUAUCACGAAAUUGUUGCAUGUGAUGGAAAAAAAUUAGUCAGAAACUUCAUUUAAAUUCCUAUGUUGGCAUUAAAUUUUAAGUUCAUUUUUCCUCUCAUCAGUGUAAAUGUUUGAAAUAAC